GCCCGCUUAGCUCAGUGGUAGAGCGCAUCACUUGUAUCAUCGAUGAUGAGGUCGGUUGUUCAAUCCAGCCAGUGGGCA